rnacentral:misc_RNA from 1 species
UUUUGGCUGGUACGGUUCCGUUCUGUUCCGCCUUGGCGCCCUUGGCCGCGGGGGCAAUGUUUUUGUUUUCGUUCUACGUUCAGGUGUUGAGUGGCGACGUAUUAACCGUCGAUAACCAGCUGAAGCAGCUCAAGUUCUCGAGUGGAACGAGGUUGACCGUGCGCAGUGGCAGCCGUUCACAACAAAAACAAUGUAUGCACUCAGUUUCGCCGGAUGAGUGCCGGCGUCGAUCGCGAACCGCCAGAGCCGCCAAAUACCUCUCGUACAUCUCCAAGAACACCAAGAACAGGAGGUAUUCAUAAAGGUCUGAACCACGCGAGGAUCGUCUCGAAGCGACGCUUGCCGCCACACGCGAGGAGAAAGCAGGAGGCCCGAAGUUUGAAUGUGAAGAGGAGGUGCGAAGAGCUGGCCCUCACUUUUUCAAGGCAGCCGCAGAACACUACGAGCCCCGAAUCACUGCCGCGGCUGACUCACGCGGAUGCUGUGCUGCACUCUGCACUGCACAUGGUUCGAAGCACACUUCAGGGGACCAGUGCAUGCCCCUGAUGCAUCGUCGCGAAGCACUGUAUGGCUCUCUGCACGCUAGAAUGGGGGCUGUCGUUGAUGCUCGCAGAGGCGUCGCCCACAACUAAGCAGACGACCAAAGUCCUGAGCAGGUCCCGGGGAUCAUGGCAUCGAUGAGCUCGCUUUCGCCUUGUCCAAGGUAGCAGUGGAACACUACGGGCAGGCCCGGAGUCACCGCACCGGCUGGCUCACGGGCGUCGUCCUGUACUCUGCACGGCACUGCGUGUGGCUUAACCGGCCAAGCAGAGGGUCACUGCAUGACCUUUAUGAGGCGUCGCUAGCCAUUGUUUCAAAUCGUCCUGAUUCAUGGGCCAAGCCUUUCAAGACUGCACUCUUAGGCCCAGUCCUUUUUGGUGGAUCGGAUCUUGCCAUCUUCCCCUCUCGUGGCUUCCUGUUGUACUUAAAUAAAUUGUCAUAUUUUUUUCU